AGUGAACGCUGGCUGUAGGCCUAACACAUGCAAGCCGAACGGCAGCACAGUAAGAGCUUGCUCUUACGGGUGGCGAGUGGCGGACGGGUGAGGAAUACAUCGGAAUCUACUUUUUCGUGGGGGAUAACGUAGGGAAACUUACGCUAAUACCGCAUACGACCUACGGGUGAAAGCAGGGGAUCUUCGGACCUUGCGCGAUUGAAUGAGCCGAUGUCGGAUUAGCUAGUUGGCGGGGUAAAGGCCCACCAAGGCGACGAUCCGUAGCUGGUCUGAGAGGAUGAUCAGCCACACUGGAACUGAGACACGGUCCAGACUCCUACGGGAGGCAGCAGUGGGGAAUAUUGGACAAUGGGCGCAAGCCUGAUCCAGCCAUACCGCGUGGGUGAAGAAGGCCUUCGGGUUGUAAAGCCCUUUUGUUGGGAAAGAAAAGCAGCAGGUUAAUACCCCGCUGUUCUGACGGUACCCAAAGAAUAAGCACCGGCUAACUUCGUG
rnacentral:rRNA from 1 species